rnacentral:rRNA from 1 species
GACGAACGCUGGCGGCGCGCUUAACACAUGCAAGUCGAGCGAUGAAAUCUUGACAGAUCCCUUCGGGGUGAAGAUAAGAUGGAUUAGCGGCGGACGGGUGAGUAACACGUGAGUAACCUGCCUUAGACAUUGGGAUAGCCUCGGGAAACCGGGAUUAAUACCAAAUGAAAUCAUAGGUGCCCAUGCACUAAUGAUCAAAACUCCGGUGGUCUAAGAUGGGCUCGCGUCCCAUUAGCUAGUUGGUGAGGUAAUGGCCCACCAAGGCGACGAUGGGUAGCCGGGCAGAGAGAGUGAACGCAGACAUUGGAACUGAGAAACGGUCGAAACUACUAGGGGAGGGGGCAGAGGGGGAUAUUGCACAACGGAGGGAACUCAGAAGCAGCGCCGGUGCGUGAACGAUGAAGGUUUGAGAGACGUACAGUUCUUUUAUAUGGGAAGAUUAUGACGGUACCAUAAGAAAAAGCCCCGGCUAACUACGUG